rnacentral:misc_RNA from 1 species
GAUGAAGAACGCAGCGAAAUGCGAUAAGUAAUGUGAAUUGCAGAAUUCAGUGAAUCAUCGAAUCUUUGAACGCACAUUGCGCCCGCCAGCAUUCUGGCGGGCAUACCUGUUCGAGCGUCAUUUCAACCCUCGACUUCCCUUUGGGGAAAUCGGCGUUGGGGACCGGCUGUAUACCGCCGGCCCCGAAAUGAAGUGGCGGCCCGUCCGCGGCGACCUCUGCGUAGUAAUCCAACUCGCACCGGAACCCCGACGUGGCCACGCCGUAAAACCCCCGACUUCUGAACGUUGACCUCGGAUCAGGUAGGAAUACCCGCUGAACUUAAGCAUAUCAAUAAGCGGAGGA